GUGAAUUUAAAGUUUGCAGAGUUUGUGAAGAUUGAUUAUCUCCCUAAAGUUUUGCUCUAUGUGUGAACAAUGUUGUGCAAUCGGUUAGUCGUCACAGGUGCCGGGAGUGUUUUAAAUGAUUCAUGCUAAUUAACAACUUCGAACGUCGCACAGUGGCGUGUCUCCAUACAAAAGUCGGUCAAAACUUCAAAAAUUGGUGAAAAUUUGAUCGUUGCCAAGAUGGUAUGCUAAUAUCAUUUUUGGUACUAUUUUAUUACAUACCGUGUGUAUUUUUUGUUACAGGGUCAAUCCAGAUAUUUCUUAAAACAUUAAUUCAAGUAUUUUUCCAGUUUCUUUCAUUUUUAUCUUCGGAUUCCUCAAGCAAUUUCUACAAGAUUUUAUUUAUUAUGCUCAAAGGAUAUUCAACCUCCAGAGCUCUCAUCAGAUUUUUUUUUCAAAACCGUCUAACAAUAACUUGGUGAUUAUUGAUGUUUCCAGGAAUAACUCUAAAAAAAAUUCUAGAUGUUUCUAUUUCAUUUUUAGUGGAUUUUUCUACAAAAAAAUAUCAGGAUCAAAUGACAGAGGAAUCUGGGAAAAUCCUAAUAAAUCUCCACGAGAAAUUUCUCGAGCAAUUCGCAAAAAUUACUAAGUGGAUUCGUGAAGGAAUUCCUGAGAAAAUAGUUGAAAGAAUUGGCAAAAACCAUUACAGCAGACACAUCUCCUUAUUUAAAAAAAUCUCUAACAACUCAAUUUGCGUUAAAUUGAAUUGAAAAUCUGUUUUUUCGUUUAAAGUAUUUGCAGCAUAAGAAAAAUAUUUGAAUGUAAAAUUUUGAUAUAAAUUUGAGGUUUUUUCCGGCUUUCCGUCACUGUGCGUCGUGACAAGGGCUACCUACAAAACAACAAAGGGAUCGAGGUCGAUACAAAACAGUAAAUGUCUUGUCUGUCGCUUCGGUCGCUUCGCGUUCAGUUGGUGCAUAGAAGAGUAAAGUGCAGCCGCCCAUCCCGCAGAUAGUGCUCCUAGUAGCAAAUUUCGAUAGAUGGCCCGUCAUUCUAUGGUAAUGUGUGUGUGUUCUUCGGGUAGAUUGUGUUAAAAAAUGCCAAAAUCAAUGAAUGACUAAAAAGGGUCAUAAAUUUGUGCUGAUAACAACAGAAGCUGCUACAGAAUGUCGCCGUAUCUUUGAAAUGGCAUAUUGGCGUUAUCAGUGUCCUGGUUUGGCGUCAACGUUCUAAGUGGCAAGUGAACCUAUACGUAUGUGUCGAUUAUAUUGGCAAAGUUUCUGCUUUACGACCGGGAGCGUAUGUGUCCCAUAGAAAAGAAAAUCUGGGCGGAAAUUGACACCUGCUGGGCUUUCCACGGUUGUUGUGCAUGGUGGUGAUAAAAGCGCACAUUUCAAUAGUUGCGCGAAAGG